UAUUUCCUUACAUAAUAUCCUUCAGAUUGAUUUUGAUUUCUGGUUUUCAACAAAUCAAAACAUAUUCCCAAUUCCUUUCUCUCCUCCUCCCAUCAGAUCUGGAAAUUAUAAUUCCUCUUUGCUUCUGCAGUUCAUCAGAUUGUAUCCCAAUCCGGUGUUUUGUAGAGGCAAAUAAAAAAGCGGAUAACUUAACCGCUACAAUGAAAUAAUCCCUGGAGGAGGAUUAAAUUGACCCACCUCUUCCCCUAGGUCAGGUUUUUAUCCCAAGCCCAUCGAAGGCUGUGGUCUCUCUCGCUGGUGUCUCCCGCUGGUGUCUGUGGCCAGAUCAUUUUCGCUGGACCGUUCACGUCUCUCGUAGGAGUGGAAACUCUCGAUGAGUACAGUUAUUCUUCUGCAAUCCGUUCGUUUUACUUCUUCUUCUUCUCAGUCUUGGAUCUAAUAGUCUUCGAUCUAUUCUUCUUUGAUCUUCCAUCCCCUUCUUCUGCGUUUUUCUUUGAUCUUCCAUCUUCUGCUUUCUUCUUCUUCUUCUUCUGCAUUUUUCUUCUUCUUCUUCUGCUUCGUCGAUCUUCCAUCAUCAUCUUCUUCUUCUUCGUCUUCGUUUUUUCAAGUCAUUUUUUACCUGCAAAAUUAGGGCUUUUAUUUUGUUUUCAUGUCAUUUAUUGAUCUGCAAAAUUAGGGCUUGAUAUUCACGAGGAAGAAGGCUUAAUUUUGGAGGCUUAAACUAGAGCUAAAGCAUCGGAUUUGAAAGCCAAUCGGGGACUGCAGGCAAGCAGCAACAGUAGCUGCCAUGUGCUGCAAUGGCACAAGAUUUCGACCCUUUUCUAUUCUUGGCGGAUAUACAUGGACAAGUGUCGAUGACAAGUCUCGUAAAAUGAAGAAAUCCAAGUCCACAAGGAAAUCUAAUUGUAGAGAGAAAGAAAAGGAAAUUGUUGGUGGGUGAAUUCAGAAAUUGCUUAUGUUGUGGGGGAUUUGCAUAUAUAGAAUGUAAUAUCAUAUGCUUUUUGUAAUUUGCAAGUUACUGUAGCAGUUAGAAUAUGGUGUUAAAAAGAGAGAUUUAAGGAAACAUUUGUAGCUCGAAAAGUGUAUCAAAUUCAUUUUUC